CGGGGCGUAGCGCAGCCUGGUAGCGCAUCUGCUUUGGGAGCAGAAAGUCGCGAGUUCAAAUCUCGCCGCCCCGACCA
rnacentral:tRNA from 1 species